UUCUGGGUGGCAGAAGUUUUAUGCGAUAGGUUUAAGCCUUAUAGAUAGGAGUGUUCCUCUCAGAAA